rnacentral:rRNA from 1 species
UGAAUACGAGACGCUAAGGCGUCGAAGUAGUGUAUGUCAUACUUCCAAGAAAAGCUUGCACUGUCAUAGAUAAAAAACGCCUGUACCAUAACCGACACAGGUGGGUAGGUAGAGUAUACUAAGGGGCGCGAGAUAACUCUCUCUAAGGAACUCGGCAAAAUAACUCCGUAACUUCGGGAGAAGGAGUGCCUUAUUCGUAAGGUUGCAAUAACAAGAUCCAAGCAACUGUUUAUCAAAACACAGGUCUCCGCUAAGUCGUAAGACGAUGUAUGGGGGCUGACGCCUGCCCAGUGCCAGAAGGUUAAAGAAGUUGGUUAGCAAUUGCGAAGCUGAUAACUGAAGCCCUGGUGAACGGCGGCCGUAACCAUAACGGUCCUAAGGUAGCGAAAUUCCUUGUCGGGUAAGUUCCGACCCGCACGAAAGGCGUAAUGAUUUGGAUACUGUCUCGGAGAGGGGCUCGGUGAAAUAGACUUGUCUGUGAAGAUGCGGACUACCUGCACCAGGACAGAAAGACCCUAUGAAGCUUUACUGUAACUUGAAAUUGAAAUUGGACUUUAUUCGCGCAGUAUAGGUGGGAGGCGUUGAUUAUAAUCUUGUGGGAUUAUUGGAGCCAUCAGUGAGAUACCACUCUUGUAAUGUUAGAUUUCUAACUUUGAAUCAUUAUCUGGUCAAAGAACAGUUUCAGGCGGGCAGUUUGACUGGGGCGGUCGCCUCCUAAACGGUAACGGAGGCGUACAAAGGUUUCCUCUGAACGGUUAGAAAUCGUAUCUAGAGUGUAAAGGCAUAAGGAAGCUUGACUGUGAGACCUACAAGUCGAGCAGGGACGAAAGUCGGUCUUAGUGAUCUGACGGUACUGAGUGGAAAGGCCGUCACUCAACGGAUAAAAGUUACUCUAGGGAUAACAGGCUGAUCUCCCCCAAGAGUUCACAUCGACGGGGAGGUUUGGCACCUCGAUGUCGGCUCAUCGCAUCCUGGGGCGGUAGUACGUCCCAAGGGUUGGGCUGUUCGCCCAUGAAAGCGGUACGCGAGCUGGGUUCAGAACGUCGCGAGACAGUUCGGUCCAUAUCCGGUGUAGGCGUUAGAAUAUUGAGAGGAGCCUUCUUUAGUACGAGAGGACCGAGAAGGACAUACCUCUGGUGUACCAGUUAUCGUGCCAACGGUAAACGCUGGGUAGCUAUGUAUGGAGUGGAUAACCGCUGAAAGCAUCUAAGUGGGAAGCCCACCUCAAGAUAAGUAUUCU